UUUUUUUUUUGGUCUUUUUUAGGGCUGCACCCUCAGCAUAUGGAAAUUCCUAGGCUAUGGCUUGAAUCAGAGCUGCAGCUGUUAGCCUACACCACAGCCACAGUAACUGGGGAUCCAAGCCGUGUCUGCAACCUAUACCACAGCUCACAGCAACAGAGAAUCCUUAACCCACUGAGUGAAGCCAGGGAUCCUCAUGGAUACUAGUCAGGUUCAUUACCUCUGAGCCACAAUGGAAACUCCCUUAUUUUCAAUUAUAUUUAAUGUACAAGUCAUUUCAACUCCUUUGGUAAAUUGAAAAAUACUAACUAAAUACAAAAAUUAAGAUUUCAAAUAAAGACUCUUAAGUCUUCCUUUCAUCCUAGAAGUAAUUAUCAUCUUUGUGCAUAAAGGAUACAUAUUAGAACUCAGAAGGCUGGCACGGUGAAAUGAAACUUACAGGCAGAAGAGUCAUUCAUUUUUUAAAGCCAAAAUAGGAAAGGGAAAAUGUCACUUGUCUUGCUGGCUUAGAGGUGGCAGAAAUCACAGCAACUGUCUCAAUUUUUCAUAAUAAUCCGCAGAGGUUCCCUUUACAGUCCUUUUGAAAAUGAUGUGGGCUACUCACUGAAGGACAGACUGUGUGACUUAGGACCAGAAAAUUUACCUCCCUGACUCUCAGGUCCUUCAUCUUUAAAAGAGGGUUAACAUUUCCUUCAGGUAUGUUUUGUGAGAACCUAAAUAUAAUUAUAUUUAAGGAGCACCCAGGAGUGUGCCCUGAGUGGAGCAGGUCCUCAUUAAAUGGCAACUAUUAUUGUUAUUUUAAAAGAGAGAAGCAGCUCCUCAACAAUCACAAAGACUACAUCCCAAGACCUCCGUGAGUUUCCCAGUUCUCAAGCGUGCUCUAUGAGACUGCAGAGAAAGUAACAUCCGGGGACUGAUUCCAAUACUCACUGCCACAUUUUCCCAAAUCACCACUGCCUCACUGCUUUCAGAGAAUAUAAUACACUAAUUCAUGUCACAUAUAUUAGCCAUUGUGAGAUCUGGUGUCCUACUCUAAGUCUUUUUCCUGGUUCCAAAGCAUUAUUUUCUUAUACCUCUUAUUCUUUUUCCUUCCAACAGCAGACAUUAGAGUUUGCUCCAUUUCUAGGAGUGUUCUUCACAAAGGAAUGAAAUACACCUCCCUUUAGGAGAGUAAUUACAUAUGCCUCUAAGAGCAAAACUCCUGAGUUUUCAGUGAGAUGCAAGAAGACUCCAGGUGGAUGGCAAGGCUCCCUUACCAUCCAGUCUUUACUCCUGCAAUCCAAAUCUGUGCUCGCAAGGUGAUGGAGCACUACAGGGCUAGUUGGGUGACUCAAAAAGAGUGAAACCAACAUAUAAACAAUAAAAGCCAAAGGUAUACUGAUUCUCUGUUGCUGUCUUUUUUUUUUUUUUUUCCUUGAAAAUCUCAUAAGCACAGAAAGGCAACACAGAUUGUAUAUCUAGCAUAUCAGAUCAAAGGAGCAAAGAUUUCUAUGGGAAGCAGUGACAAAUAGUUGUGUGAGCAGUGGGGAAAGGAGGUCGAGUCCCAAGAGCCCCUGCUCUCUUCUCUGGGGAUAAAGGGAUGGGACCACACAGGCAGGGGAGCCAGAUCUUCAUUAGGGCUGGGAAGGCUUUAGGCUGCAUCCAGAAAGAAACUUGCAGAAAGAGCCCUGGUCCCUGGACCUAACUAAACUUGGAGCUUACUCUCAGGAAGUAGGAGGCUGUCUUUGAGGAAGAGCAAAAGGUCGUCUUCUCUUGUUUCUUCACGAGCAGGUCACCGUAAGUGGUCUAAUUCCCAUUCAUCACCUGAUCUAGCCCAGCACACCCGGUGUGACAGCAGCAGCAUCCUCCCAGAAGCCCAUUCCCACCAGUCUUUGGGUACAACCUGGUGAUGUCCUUUUUCACAGAAAGAGUGUACAUUUACAAACAUCUAAAUGAAUGAACUGUCAUGCACAGCUACGUCUGUGUUACAUUAUUAGUUGAGCGACUGUGUAAUCAACAAGGAAGAGAAGAACGCAUGUUCAGAAAAUAUAGAUGUGCUACCUAGAGCAGCUAACCAGUUCUCACUGCCACUGGGUAAACUGCAUUAUCACUUUGACAUGUGAGGAAACUGAGAUUAAAUGAGUCUCCCAUAAUGGUAGAACCAACAAGGGGUACUGAAACACAAAAUCCAGGUCAGACAGAUCUCAAAGUUCACAAUCUUGACAGUUUACCAUGCUCACUCUCCAGAGAAUUCUAAAUGAUAGAUAUUUUAUCAUCUGAAUAGAUGCAAAGGAAGUAAGAGCAGCUGUGACCAGCAAAGGAUGCAUGUCUGUAGAUACAAAAGACUGGAAAGGAAAUGUCCAGAGUUCCCUUGGGGACCCUGGUCCUUAUUUCUCACUGUUCCUCUGGUCCAUCUUUAUCCUUCUUCCUGGGAUUCUGCAAGACACUCCGAUAGCUCUUUAGCAACCCAGAUGGGGUUCUCCGACUCACAAAGGAAAACAUGCCACUCCCCACCUGUGCCCCACCAGUGCCACUGUGGCAGCCAUGGAGGUUGGGGGUGCUGAAUGCUCUCAUGAUGAUGGGCCAUGUUUCACCCCAGCCACACAGACCCACAUUAUUUCAUUUCAGAAAAGGCCGCUGUGUUGAAGGGCAAUUCAACAGUUUUAACCACUUGACACUUAACUAUGUGCAUUGCUGUCUUAUCGAUAAAUAGCUGUAGAAUUCUGGGAGAUCUACCAUAGGUUGUGAAAUUUGAGCAAAGCCAAAGAUGUCAGGAAGAAUGCAUAAAAAAUGAUGCAUUUGUUUCCCCCUUGCUGGUAUCACCACUGAUCUGUCAGCAUUGCAUUUCUUUAGUCAUUUAAUAAAACUACUGUUGAUCAUCUUGGGAUGCAUUAGAAUUUAAAAAAAACCAGCUAAAUGGCCAUUAAAUUAUAUUAAUACUUUGCAAAAUAAAUUGCUAAUUAGUGUAAAAGAGGAGAGUGCACUAAAAUAAUUAUAACUUGUUUCAAUACACUUUUAAUUUGAUCAGGAAGUAUGUCUAAAUUUGCUGGGCUCUCAGGGUCGGUGGUUGCGGCUUGCUGCCAUUACUAAGCUCUAUGGUGUUAUGAUUUGGUAUUCUCACCAUAAGAGGAGUGUUCCCACGCUUGUCCACUAAGGUUCACAACCAAUUUUCUCAGGAUUCUGCCUCUACAAACCCACAAACAAUGGCCCGGCAUCAGGUCCUACGAGCUACAAGAGGAAGAGGUUAGAACACAGCCUCUGUUGUGAGACUGCCCAGAUUUAAAUUCUGGCCCUGCUGCUCCUUAGCUCAGUGAACUCUGACAAGUCACUUACCUCUUCUGGACCUCUGUUUCCAAUGGGUUAUAAGAGCACCCCAUACACACAGUAAACAUUCAACAUUGCUAUGAGAAUUCUGUGCAGUUCUUCCUUCUCUCCCUACCCUUACAAACUGAACAAGAUUAAUGCAAAGAGUGUGCCUUGUUGAGAAGAGAAAAAUAAUCUCCAGAGUCAAGUUCAAAGCAGGCCUUAUUGUCCAUACUCUCAAAGAUCAAGGAAGUUCAACCAGCUCCUGGCCUUUGUCAGAAUGAGAGAGUGAAGAGGGCUGGGGCAGGAAAGUGGUACCAUCUGGAGGAGUCAUUGAACUGAGAUGAAGAUAGCUUUCUCUUUACCCGCCUCUGUUAGUCACAUUCCAUUUCUGAAGUAUCAUUGAGCCUUAUAUGUCCAUCCACCAAGCUGGGGCCUGGCCAUAACCUCUGGUCCCCAAGGUGGACCAGAUGCCACUAGCCCUGCAGAAAGUAUUGGCAGCUGCAGGCUCAUCGCCUGGCAGGGAAAGGCAGAGAGAAGGAGGAUUAUGAGAGCCCUUCCUGGAGGCCCCCACUGGUACACUGCACAUACACAGUUCCCCUUAGACCUUCUAAGGGCCCACCACAGAAACCCAGGUGAGGGCAGGCAUCUGGACAUCUGCGCGAGCCAGGGCUGGGCGUGGGGAUGAGAGAAGCUGUGAUGGCUCAGAAGAGGUCAGACACAGCCUGCAUGCUCUAAGGAUGGCCUUUUCCUCUCCCACUUCUAAAAGCCAGAGCAGAGAAGAAGGAGCAGGUGUCAAAAUCAGACCAUGGCCCACGCCCUCGAGCCCACAUGGGCCACAGCAGGGCUGCACCCCAAGUGCUCCACACUGAGGAGGAGGGAAGAGAAGGCAUGGAAGGCAGCCGCUGCACAUCACAGGUGAGGCUGAAAUAUUAAAGAGGAUGGACCUUCUCACUCCCAACACCAGUUUGCUCUUGUUAAGUGACUGUGACUGGACAUGACAGAAUUGGACCAAGAUGGCUCUAACAGAGACUGACUCAGAGUAGGAAGGAGAGCCGUGUGGGGCCCCAAGGAGGGGGUUUUUACUGAGAAACAAGGAAUAAUCUGAUGCCUUCUCCUCAUGAGGUGGGACUUCUCAAACCAAAUAUUUCUUUUAAGAAGGCAGCCAUAGCCAUUUCGGACAUGGGUCAGUCACAGGGCACACAGCUGUGCUCAGGUCUGUCCCCCCGCAGAAUCAUGGGCAGUUUGCAAACUCCUGAUCUCUGUGGAACCUGUUAGCCUCUUAAAAAAAAUCAUUCUUCCUUUAUCCUGAUUCUCUCAAAUUGGGGAAGUAGAGUCACUGGCUUCUCUUUAGUCUCUCUGGACAGGUCUUCAGGGUGGAUUCUUCAGUUUCACACUGAAAAAGGUACUUUGGCUCCAAUAAGCAAAGGGACUGUCACAUGAAAUGAAUAUUUACAUAUAUAUAUAUAGAUACACUUAUUUUAUAGAUACACACACACAUACACAUAUGUAGUGGCAUCUAAGUUACAAUAGUAAUCAAGUGCUUUUUAGGGAAAAAAAUGUAGAAGUAUUAGACUAAUCUGCUAAAAAUAGGUAGCAAGAAUCAACAAUGAAAGUGUAAAGAAAUGGUAUACUCACCCUUUUCCCUACAUUCUUCUUCUUUUUUUUUUUUNUCUUUUUGCUAUUUCUUGGGCCGCUCCCGCGGCAUAUGGAGAAUAGUAUGGAGGUUCCCUAAUAAACUAAAAACAGAAUUACCCUAUGAUCUAGCAAUUUCACUCCUGGCCAUAUGUCUAGAAAAAAAUUCUAAUUCAAAAAAAUGCAUGUACCCCAAUGUUCACAGUAGCACUAUUUACGACAGCCAAAAAAUGC
rnacentral:lncRNA from 1 species